rnacentral:piRNA from 2 species
AGGGCUGGAGAGAUGGUUCAGUGG